rnacentral:lncRNA from 1 species
UCCUAUUUGCUAUCUCCACGGCACAAGCCCUGUAGACAACUUCUCCUAAUAGUGUCUCACCCCCAACAGUAGACACAAACAACAUUGAAUCAAGUUUAUCAGGUGGUAUAUUAAGUUUGGAUGUAAAAACAUGUGAAACAAAUGAAUGCGAUGCACCAGUGUCAAAUAAAACAUGAGCAAUAUGGUCACAGAUAGUAUACAUACCUUGUACCACGUCCGGGUCGGCGUCAGCAUCCUGCUGGGUGAGGUUGUAAACCUUGCCCUUAAAAGGAGGUC